rnacentral:rRNA from 1 species
UACGGAGGAUGCGAGCGUUAUCCGGAUUUAUUGGGUUUAAAGGGUGCGUAGGCUGUAAGGUAAGUCAGCGGUGAAAUGCCCCCGCUCAACGGGGUGAAGUGCCAUUGAUACUGCCUUGCUGGAAUGCGGAUGCCGUGGGAGGAAUGUGUGGUGUAGCGGUGAAAUGCAUAGAUAUCGCGCAGAACCCCGAUUGCGAAGGCAGCCUUCCGGCGCCCUACUGACGCUGAGGCACGAAAGUGCGGGGAUCGAACAGG